rnacentral:lncRNA from 12 species
GGGGGGGGGGGGGGGGGGGGGGGGGGGGGGGGGGGGGGGGGGGGGGGGGGGGGGGGGGGGGGGGGGGGGGGGAGCAGGGACUGAGCAGGGACUGAGCAGGGGCUGAGCAGGGGCUGAGCAGGGACAGGGACAGGAACCUCUCUGCACGUGUUGACAGGGGUGACACCACCCACAGAGAUCAGCAACUCCUGCCACACAUCUGGACAGAGCCAGGUCCCCGUGCCAAGGAGGGACACGUCUGUCCAUCCCAUGGCUGUCUGUCCAUCCCUGAGCUGUCUGUCCAUCCCAGGGCUGUCUGUCCAUCCCAGGGCUGUCUGUCCAUCCCCAGACCUGUCUGUCUGUCCAUCCCCAGGGCUGGUGGGGCUGGAGGGGGGUUGGUUCAGGGUCCCUCUGUCCCCUCAGCAGUGGGACAGUGACGUGGGGAAGGUGUCCCCAGGCUGGCAUCCAGGUGGGAAUGGGGGCAGUGCCAGCUGGCCCUGGCCACGCUGCUGCUCAAAGCAAAGGCUGCCCCUGAGAGCUGCAGAGCUGAGUGCUGGGGGCAUCCAGCAGGGCUCCAGCAGCACCUGCUCCAUCCCCUCCACCACACUGGGCAUGAACAGACACCUGCCACUCAGCCAAGCCCUACAGGAGCACCAAACCCUACAAGAACACCAAACCCUGCACCAGCACCAAACCCUACAGCAGAACCAAACCCUACAGCAGCAGCAGCACCAAACCUACAGCAGAACCAAACCCUACAGCAGCACCAAAACCUAUAGGAGCACCAAGCCCUACAGCAGCACCAAACCUACAGCAGCAUCAAACCCUGCAGCAGCACCAAACCCUACAGCAGCACCAAACCCUACAGCAGCACCAAACCCUACAGCAGCACCAAACCCUACAGCAGCACCAAACCCUACAGCAGCACCAAACCCUACAGCAGCACCAAACCCUACAGCAGCACCAAACCCUACAGCAGCACCAAACCCUACAGCAGCACCAAACCCUACAGCAGCACCAAACCCUACAGCAGCACCAAACCCUACAGCAGCACCAAACCCUACAGCAGCACCAAACCCUACAGCAGCACCAAACCCUACAGCAGCACCAAACCCUACAGCAGCACCAAACCCUACAGCAGCACCAAACCCUACAGCAGCACCAAACCCUACAGCAGCACCAAACCCUACAGCAGCACCAAACCCUACAGCAGCACCAAACCCUACAGCAGCACCAAACCCUACAGCAGCACCAAACCCUACAGCAGCACCAAACCCUACAGCAGCACCAAACCCUACAGCAGCACCAAACCCUACAGCAGCACCAAACCCUACAGCAGCACCAAACCCUACAGCAGCACCAAACCCUACAGCAGCACCAAACCCUACAGCAGCACCAAACCCUACAGCAACACCAAACCCUACAGCACAGCACCAAACCCUACAGCAGAACCAAACCCUACAGCAACACCAAACCCUACAGCAACACCAAACCCUACAGCAGAACCAAACCCUACAGCAACACCAAAACCUAUAGGAGCACCAAACCCUACAGCAGCACCAAACCUACAGCAGCACCAAACCUACAGCAGCACCAAACCUACAGCAGCACCAAACCUACGGCAACACCAAACCCCACAGCAGCACCAAACCCUACAGCAGCAGCACAAAAACCUAUACCACACCACCAAACCUGUAGCAGCACCCCCAAAGCCCACACCAGCAACACCCAACCCCCACCACCCCACCAAACCCACACCAACACCACAAAAACUGCCCAACACCCCCAACCCUACACCACACCCCCAAUCCGUGCCCCUCCUUCACCAAGCCCUAGAGCACUCCCCAAAUCUCAUUGUGCCCAGGUUUGGGCCAUGAUCCCAAGGGUUCUCCUGAUCCCAUUGUGCUCCAGGCCAAGGCAGAUGUUCCCAACCCUGCCCUGUCCUCCCAAAGGAUGGACCAGGCUGGCUCCUGCUGCCCAGCUGCCUUCACCCCACACUGUGCCAGGAUAAAGGAGCCACGAGAUCUGGGCUGCAGCCAGGGGACCAUUAUGGGAUGGCACCUCCCUCCCCAGACAGGACCCUUUGCAUGGCCCCACUGCAGUAACACAUAAUCCCUUCCAGCCUCAGCCCUUAAUGGUUAAACACCAUGGGGCUGUGCAGGCCAUGGAAUCACAGAAUCCCAGGAUUGUUGAGGCUGGAAGAUCUCUGGAGAUCACCCAGACAAGAGAUAAUUCCCCUGACAAGACAGGGUCACCUGGAGCAGGGGCACAGGAAC